GGGCGUUAAGUUGCAGGGUAUAGACCCGAAACCCGGUGAUCUAGCCAUGGGCAGGUUGAAGGUUGGGUAACACUAACUGGAGGACCGAACCGACUAAUGUUGAAAAAUUAGCGGAUGACCUGUGGCUGGGGGUGAAAGGCCAAUCAAACCGGGAGAUAGCUGGUUCUCCCCGAAAGCUAUUUAGGUAGCGCCUCGUGAAUUCAUCUCCGGGGGUAGAGCACUGUUUCGGCUAGGGGGCCAUCCCGGCUUACCAACCCGAUGCAAACUGCGAAUACCGGAGAAUGUUAUCACGGGAGACACACGGCGGGUGCUAACGUCCGUCGUGAAGAGGGAAACAACCCAGACCGCCAGCUAAGGUCCCAAAGUCAUGGUUAAGUGGGAAACGAUGUGGGAAGGCCCAGACAGCCAGGAUGUUGGCUUAGAAGCAGCCAUCAUUUAAAGAAAGCGUAAUAGCUCACUGGUCGAGUCGGCCUGCGCGGAAGAUGUAACGGGGCUAAACCAUGCACCGAAGCUGCGGCAGCGAACGUAUCACUUAAAGCGAUUCAGCGGGUUACGAUUGACGGAGCGAAGCGACGUCAAAGCGUAUACAAAGUCGAGUCGGUUUAAGGAUACGUUCGUUGGGUAGGGGAGCGUUCUGUAAGCCCGUGAAGGUGGCCUGUGAGGGUUGCUGGAGGUAUCAGAAGUGCGAAUGCUGACAUAAGUAACGAUAAAGCGGGUGAAAAGCCCGCUCGCCGGAAGACCAAGGGUUCCUGUCCAACGUUAAUCGGGGCAGGGUGAGUCGACCCCUAAGGCGAGGCCGAAAGGCGUAGUCGAUGGGAAACGGGUUAAUAUUCCCGUACUUGGUGUUACUGCGAAGGGGGGACGGAGAAGGCUAUGUUGGCCGGGCGACGGUUGUCCCGGUUUAAGCGUGUAGGUGUGUGUUCCAGGUAAAUCCGGUUCACUUUAACACUGAGGCGUGACGACGAGGCACUACGGUGCUGAAGCAACAAAUGCCCUGCUUCCAGGAAAAGCCUCUAAGCAUCAGGUAACACGAAAUCGUACCCCAAACCGACACAGGUGGUCAGGUAGAGAAUACCAAGGCGCUUGAGAGAACUCGGGUGAAGGAACUAGGCAAAAUGGUGCCGUAACUUCGGGAGAAGGCACGCUGACACGUAGGUGAAGUGAUUUACUCAUGGAGCUGAAGUCAGUCGAAGAUACCAGCUGGCUGCAACUGUUUAUUAAAAACACAGCACUGUGCAAACACGAAAGUGGACGUAUACGGUGUGACGCCUGCCCGGUGCCGGAAGGUUAAUUGAUGGGGUCAGCGCAAGCGAAGCUCCUGAUCGAAGCCCCGGUAAACGGCGGCCGUAACUAUAACGGUCCUAAGGUAGCGAAAUUCCUUGUCGGGUAAGUUCCGACCUGCACGAAUGGCGUAAUGAUGGCCAGGCUGUCUCC
rnacentral:rRNA from 1 species